AGUGUUCAUCGUUCGCUCAGUCGUCGGCCGGCCGUCCAUCCGCGCACCGGUACACGUAUCAGUUUUGCCUCGCGCCGCAUCACUCGCCAGGAUCGCCAAGAACCAAGCGCGCACUCCCCCCGAAGACGUACGUGACGCGCGUGUUCUAGUUCGCACGUGCCACCACCGGUCGAUAGUGCUGCUACGUAUCGUCACCGGCGAACGGGCCAUGAAGGUGCGCCACGCCGAGGACGAAUUCAACGGCGCCGUCGGAGUCGGCAUCGCCGAGACGUCCGCGGACGUUCGGGUGGCCAAGCACUCGUGCGAGAAGCGCGCGGACACCGCCGGCACCACCGGUUGCCGCGACCGGUCCGCGUUCCACGGGCACGUGCCGCGCACGGACGUCGCGGGCUGCCAAAACUGCACCGUCGAGCAGCUACGCGUCCGCAAACCUCGACACCGGUCCGGAUCGUGGCCGAGGACGCGAUCGCUGAACGCCCCCAGCCCCGUCCAACAGUUCGGACCAUGUGGCCGUAUCAUGAAGAACUCCGCGAUGGUCAUAACGGUCCAGGAUCCGGCCAGCCAACGUCUUACGUGGUACAAGAAUCCACUGUCGGUGUUGGUGAUAAAAAAAGUUCGAGACAUGUCCGUGUUACCGCCGUUCAUACAACUCGUCAGAUGGCUGAUACAGGAGAAAAGCAUGAUUGUAUUCGUUGAGCACUCAGUGAUGGAAGACACUAUGCUCACUAGCAACUCAGGCUUUAUGGAAAUACGAGAGAAACUUAAGUCAUUCCAAGAUGGCAAAGACGAUCUGACCGAUAAAAUAGACUUUAUUAUUUGCCUAGGCGGGGACGGCACACUGCUCUAUGCUAGUCUAUUGUUUCAGAAAUCUGUACCACCAAUUAUGGCGUUCCAUUUGGGUUCACUUGGAUUUUUGACACCUUUUAAGUUCGAUAAUUUUCAACAGCAAGUGACCAAUGUACUAGAAGGACACGCUGCGCUGACAUUACGCAGUAGACUGAGAUGCAUAAUUGUUAGGAAAAAUGAGGAUAAAGAAAAACCACCAUUAAAUUUACUUGUGUUGAAUGAAGUAGUUAUUGACCGUGGGCCAUCACCAUAUCUGUCAAACAUUGACUUGUUUUUGGAUGGAAAACACAUUACAUCUGUCCAAGGAGAUGGUUUGAUUGUUUCAACACCAACUGGAAGUACGGCGUAUGCAGUUGCAGCUGGUGCAUCAAUGAUUCACCCAAGUGUUCCAGCUAUUAUGGUGACACCUAUAUGUCCUCAUUCUUUGUCAUUCAGGCCAAUAGUAGUACCAGCUGGUGUUGAAUUAAAAAUAAUGGUAUCACCAGAUAGUCGCAAUACGGCCUGGGUUUCAUUUGAUGGUCGUAGUCGGCAAGAGAUUUUUCAUGGUGAUAGAUUAUGUUGAGUCCAGAUGCCCGAUCAACCGCUUGGGUUUCAUUUGAUGGCCGAAAUCAACAGGAAUUAUGUGCAGACGAUAGCUUGCGAGUAACUACAU
rnacentral:misc_RNA from 1 species